UGAUGUGAGGGCAUUCUGACCAUGAAAUGUCACCCGACUCAUCACCAGGGUUGAUUUGGCUGGUCUGCUUGGUUGAGCAGAUGUGCCCUUCCUCCCUCUACUCCAUGUGUGUCCCUCUCAAGGCUGUGUACUCGUCGAAGAGGACUACCUUUUCCAGUAGAGGUCCAUUAUCCAGUGAAGGAUGUAAGAGUAGCUGAGCUCCUCUAGUAACCUCCAAGCGAGCUCUCUGGAAUCAUUAUCUUUUGAAAAAAUAUUUUGUUAUUUUUCUUU
rnacentral:snRNA from 1 species